rnacentral:rRNA from 1 species
GGGUUGUGAGGUUAAGCGACUAAGCGUACACGGUGGAUGCCCUGGCAGUCAGAGGCGAUGAAGGACGUGCUAAUCUGCGAAAAGCGUCGGUAAGGUGAUAUGAACCGUUAUAACCGGCGAUGUCCGAAUGGGGAAACCCAGUGUGAUUCGUCACACUAUCGUUAACUGAAUACAUAGGUUAACGAGGCGAACCGGGGGAACUGAAACAUCUAAGUACCCCGAGGAAAAGAAAUCAACCGAGAUUCCCCCAGUAGCGGCGAGCGAACGGGGAGCAGCCCAGAGUCUGAAUCAGCUUGUGUGUUAGUGGAACGGUCUGGAAAGUCCGACGGUACAGGGUGAUAGUCCCGUACACCAAAAUGCACAGGUUGUGAACUCGAAGAGUAGGGCGGGACACGUGGUAUCCUGUCUGAAUAUGGGGGGACCAUCCUCCAAGGCUAAAUACUCCUGACUGACCGAUAGUGAACCAGUACCGUGAGGGAAAGGCGAAAAGAACCCCGGCGAGGGGAGUGAAAAAGAACCUGAAACCGUGUACGUACAAGCAGUGGGAGCACCUUCGGGUGUGACUGCGUACCUUUUGUAUAAUGGGUCAGCGACUUAUAUUCUGUAGCAAGGUUAACCGUAUAGGGGAGCCGCAGGGAAACCGAGUCUUAACUGGGCGUUAAGUUGCAGGGUAUAGACCCGAAACCCGGUGAUCUAGCCAUGGGCAGGUUGAAGGUUGGGUAACACUAACUGGAGGACCGAACCGACUAAUGUUGAAAAAUUAGCGGAUGACUUGUGGCUGGGGGUGAAAGGCCAAUCAAACCGGGAGAUAGCUGGUUCUCCCCGAAAGCUAUUUAGGUAGCGCCUCGUGAAUUCAUCUUCGGGGGUAGAGCACUGUUUCGGCUAGGGGGUCAUCCCGACUUACCAACCCGAUGCAAACUACGAAUACCGAAGAAUGUUAUCACGGGAGACACACGGCGGGUGCUAACGUCCGUCGUGAAGAGGGAAACAACCCAGACCGCCAGCUAAGGUCCCAAAGUCAUGGUUAAGUGGGAAACGAUGUGGGAAGGCACAGACAGCCAGGAUGUUGGCUUAGAAGCAGCCAUCAUUUAAAGAAAGCGUAAUAGCUCACUGGUCGAGUCGGCCUGCGCGGAAGAUGUAACGGGGCUAAACCAUGCACCGAAGCUGCGGCAGCGACACUAUGUGUUGUUGGGUAGGGGAGCGUUCUGUAAGCCUGCGAAGGUGUGCUGUGAGGCAUGCUGGAGGUAUCAGAAGUGCGAAUGCUGACAUAAGUAACGAUAAAGCGGGUGAAAAGCCCGCUCGCCGGAAGACCAAGGGUUCCUGUCCAACGUUAAUCGGGGCAGGGUGAGUCGACCCCUAAGGCGAGGCCGAAAGGCGUAGUCGAUGGGAAACAGGUUAAUAUUCCUGUACUUGGUGUUACUGCGAAGGGGGGACGGAGAAGGCUAUGUUAGCCGGGCGACGGUUGUCCCGGUUUAAGCAUGUAGGCUGGUUGUCCAGGCAAAUCCGGAUAAUCAAGGCUGAGGUGUGAUGACGAGGCACUACGGUGCUGAAGUAACAAAUGCCCUGCUUCCAGGAAAAGCCUCUAAGCAUCAGGUAACAUUAAAUCGUACCCCAAACCGACACAGGUGGUCAGGUAGAGAAUACCAAGGCGCUUGAGAGAACUCGGGUGAAGGAACUAGGCAAAAUGGUGCCGUAACUUCGGGAGAAGGCACGCUGGUGUGUAGGUGAAGUCCCUGCGGAUGGAGCUGAGACCAGUCGAAGAUACCAGCUGGCUGCAACUGUUUAUUAAAACACAGCACUGUGCAAACACGAAAGUGGACGUAUACGGUGUGACGCCUGCCCGGUGCCGGAAGGUUAAUUGAUGGGGUUAUCCGUAAGGAGAAGCUCUUGAUCGAAGCCCCGGUAAACGGCGGCCGUAACUAUAACGGUCCUAAGGUAGCGAAAUUCCUUGUCGGGUAAGUUCCGACCUGCACGAAUGGCGUAAUGAUGGCCAGGCUGUCUCCACCCGAGACUCAGUGAAAUUGAACUCGCUGUGAAGAUGCAGUGUACCCGCGGCAAGACGGAAAGACCCCGUGAACCUUUACUAUAGCUUGACACUGAACAUUGAGCCUUGAUGUGUAGGAUAGGUGGGAGGCUUUGAAGCGUGGACGCCAGUCUGCGUGGAGCCAACCUUGAAAUACCACCCUUUAAUGUUUGAUGUUCUAACGUUGGCCCUUACCGGGGUUGCGGACAGUGUCUGGUGGGUAGUUUGACUGGGGCGGUCUCCUCCCAAAGCGUAACGGAGGAGCACGAAGGUUAGCUAAUCCUGGUCGGACAUCAGGAGGUUAGUGCAAUGGCAUAAGCUAGCUUGACUGCGAGCGUGACGGCGCGAGCAGGUGCGAAAGCAGGUCAUAGUGAUCCGGUGGUUCUGAAUGGAAGGGCCAUCGCUCAACGGAUAAAAGGUACUCCGGGGAUAACAGGCUGAUACCGCCCAAGAGUUCAUAUCGACGGCGGUGUUUGGCACCUCGAUGUCGGCUCAUCACAUCCUGGGGCUGAAGUAGGUCCCAAGGGUAUGGCUGUUCGCCAUUUAAAGUGGUACGCGAGCUGGGUUUAGAACGUCGUGAGACAGUUCGGUCCCUAUCUGCCGUGGGCGCUGGAGAAUUGAGGGGGGCUGCUCCUAGUACGAGAGGACCGGAGUGGACGCAUCACUGGUGUUCGGGUUGUCAUGCCAAUGGCACUGCCCGGUAGCUAAAUGCGGAAGAGAUAAGUGCUGAAAGCAUCUAAGCACGAAACUUGCCCCGAGAUGAGUUCUCCCUGAGACUUUAAGUCUCCUGAAGGAACGUUGAAGACGACGACGUUGAUAGGCCGGGUGUGUAAGCGCAGCGAUGCGUUGAGCUAACCGGUACUAAUGAACCGUGAGGCUUAACCUUACAACGCCGAAG